UACGUAGGGGGCAAGCGUUGUCCGGAAUCAUUGGGCGUAACGCGCGUGUAGGCGGCCCGGUAAGUCCGCUGUGAAAGUCCAGGGCUCAACCCUGGAAUGCCGGUGGAUACUGUCGGGCUCGAGUCCGGAAGAGGCGAGUGGAAUUCCUGGUGUAGCGGUGAAAUGCGCAGAUAUCAGGAGGAACACCGAUGGCGAAGGCAGCUCGCUGGGACGGUACUGACGCUGAGACGCGAAAGCGUGGGGAGCAAACAGG
rnacentral:rRNA from 1 species